AUUUAAAAAAAAAAACAGAAGAAUCCUCUAGAAGAGGAUUGAGAACUAGCCCUCGGAGCUCUGUUGGGCCUCUGUCCAGGGGCUUACACGUGCCUAUGCGCCACUGUCAACACCGACUCUUACGGCGGCAGGAAACUGGAAAACUUUCACCUUUUACCACGCAUCAAAAGAUACCAGCGAGGAUAUCACGGCGGUGAGUGCGCUGGCGUUGAUUCGUGCACCGAUUGCGGCGUGGUACAAGGCUAGAGUCACAGUGUCGGUGGAAACUGGAACAACGCGAGACGAAAGGGCGCGUCGGUUGGAGUGCUUGCGGCGCCUAGGGCUUCUGAAACCCUAGGUCUUCUGUACUUAGUUUAUGGUUUGGGCCUCUUGGGCCCCGUUCAUUUUUGGGUUAAGGGUGUACUGGGCUAGUGGGUAGUUUAGGCUAAUUGGGUCUUCUGGUUUAGAUCAGUUGGGGUACAAGUGUAACCGGGUUUGGACUAUCGGGCCUUUAGGCUUGUUUAUUGUAAUUUGGACAUUACAGACCUUAACAAUAAAAAUAUAUUUAAUAAUUCAUUUAAA